AUGGGGGGCAUGACGGGGUCGCGAGGUAAGACGGGGUACCGCACACAAACAAGAAACUACACGUUGGUGAAUAGCAUGCAAUAACUCAAUAGGAAGAGUCAUUCGACUAACGAUCACUGCAAGAGAAACCGUGAAUGAGAGUGCACGCGUUUUUUGUUUGCAAACGGAAAACUGUUUUAGCGCUCCGUUGAUCUAAUUUUGGGCAAGGACAACCAUCGUUAUUUUAAGUUACCUUUUGAGGCAAGAUGGGGUAUUGGGUGCGGGGUAUGAUGGGAAAUUGGUGAUAAUACCAUG
rnacentral:lncRNA from 1 species